CUCGGGGGGCGUGACCCCUCAGGCCAGAUUGCGAGAGGGUGCAGGCCAGGCCGAGGGACCCCACCGGUGCACG
rnacentral:pre_miRNA from 1 species